UAACCACUCAAGCCUAGCUUGGUCUUGGGGUUCGCGGUCUCGCGGCCCUUAAAAUCAGUGGCGGUGCCGCCUGGCUCUAAGCGUAGUAAUUCUCUCGCUAUAGAGUCUAGGUGGUUACCUGCCAGAAACCCCCCUCUUAC
rnacentral:misc_RNA from 1 species